CCUUUUCCCUUUCCUUUUUCUCUUUCAGUGCAAGAUCAAAUGACUAUCUUCCUUCGCCGAGAAGAUGAGAAAACCGAAAGAAAAAAGUAGGAGAAAAUCAGGAUCCAUCGUUCGUCUCCCACUUCCCAGUGUCUCCUCCUUCUACAGUACCAAUACUUCGCUGCUGCUACGGCUACUCUAAAAGAUUCUUCUACAGUUUUUUUUUUUUUUUAUAAAUUUUUUUGGGUGCUACCGCUCAUCAACAGAGCCCAGCCCAUGCUAUUUCUAUGUUCCACCAUCCAAUCCCACCACCGACCUCUUGGCCCAUCAUCCCCACCCCCUCUAUUCUAGCGUUUCCUUUUUAUGUGUUUUCCUUUUCUUUCCACUUUUAUUUAUUUUUUUUGUAAUUUCUUUUAUCAUUGAUUUUUUAGGGCUUAUUCCCUCCAUUACUGUGCUGUCUGAUCAUUCCCUUCUCAUUUAAGAUUAGCUCCGUGUUCUGUUUCUUGGAUUCUUUAAAAAGUUCUAUAUGGAUUCUUAGGAUAUCUCGUCGUCAAUAUCUAGGGUUUUUCUAGGGUUUUUCCUUUGAUAUGCGGCUUCGCGUUUCCUGGGUCGACUGUAGUAUCACUUAAAUAUAUCGUCUUUUUACUCUUGGUGUCUUUUUUCUCUGUGAAUUUGAAUUGGUGCUCUCUCUCUCUGUCUGAGUUGAAAAUUUUCAUUCAUGGCGUACCAGCCGAUUACGGGUCCGACUUCGAGUUCCGGCUUUCAGUUCAUGAACUCCCCUUUUGGUGAUACGACCUUCACCAAGGUCUUUGUUGGGGGACUUGCCUGGGAGACGCAGAGCGAAACUAUGCGGCGGUAUUUCGAGCAGUUCGGUGAGAUUCUAGAGGCCGUCGUGAUCACUGAUAAGAAUACUGGUCGAUCGAAAGGCUAUGGUUUUGUGACUUUUCGUGAACCUGAGGCUGCUAGGAGAGCCUGCAUUGAUCCAACUCCAAUUAUUGAUGGCAGGCGGGCAAAUUGUAAUUUGGCUUCACUCGGGCGGCCUCGGCCUUCUAUGCCUUAUGGACGUUUGAGACCAACAACUCCAUAUUCUGGAAGUGUGCAAGUUGCCCGGGGAGCUUAUGUUGGAAAUUUUGGCUACCAGCAUCCACUUUCUUAUAGCUACCAACAUGGAUUGAUGUAUCCUCCAUAUGGGUAUCAAACAUAUGGACCUGAAUAUGUCUACCCACAGGGUGUUUACAACCCUUAUGCUGGUCAGCAUUACCUUCAGAUAUAUGGAGUACCUGGGACGGUUAACCCUGCUGUUUAUCCUUAUGGACAAUUGGGUCAAACUCUUCCUGGUGGUCAUGGUUAUACGGCAGUGCCCAGUUAUCCUGUACCGGGUGCUCAGGUAGUACAUUUUGGUGGACCAAGUGCUAGUGCGAUGGCAACUUCACCUAUGCCUACAAUUCAGUCACCAUAUCCCACAGGUAUGGCAGCUCCUGUUGCACCGCAACCCCAAUUUAUAGUUCCUGCUCCUUCUCCUCAGUACAUGCAAGGUAGCGGUUCAGACCAAACGGCUGGGUGAGGAUUGAUCAAGGUAUCCUUAGAUUGCAGCAGGACUAAGAGCAGCGGAACUGCUACUUGAGUGGCGGGCUUCGGAUCUAGCCUUGCAAAUUAUAUAUUUUGCAUUCUAGAGGUGGUCUUAUAUCAAUUUCAUGCUGUGCAGGUUAUACGUAGUCAUGCUCACCAGAGAAGUCAAAUGUCUUGAGUCGCUCCAGAUGGUGGAGAAUGGGGGGAUGUGGAAGAUGCGGACUGCUCUUCCUUUGGGAUCUUUACCCUAGUGUACUUAAAACCUCGUAUAGCGCCUCUGCUUAGGAUGAGUAGCAGGCUAUCAUGGAUUGAUGGGUUCUGGAAUCGGUUUCUAGCAGCCAUGUAGGAAUAAGCCUGUGUAAAAAUCAUCACUUAGAAUCAACAUAUGAUUCUUUUGUAGUCUAGUCCCUGCAUUUUGGGUGUAUAGAUAGUCUCUGGUGUUUCUGUUUGUUGUUGGGUCCAUUGUAUUAAAUGUGAUUCUGAGUUUUGUGCAUAUUAGUUCUAGGUUUUUUUUUUUUUUUUUUUUCCUGAAAAUUCAACACCUGCAUCUUGGAUGAUAUUGAGAGCCUGGCUUCAAAACACGAGCUGCAGGUAUCUAUCUUAUUGAGAAGAAACAUUUGUGUUUCCUAAUACCCAUUUCUUGCUCUAAUCUGAAAUCCAGCUCUGAAGCAAGAUCUUCUAUAUAUGCUAAAGUAAUGGUCAUGCAAUGGUACCUUUUAAUGAUCAUUUUUUUCCCCAUUGAGUGAAGUUACUUGAGCCUGGUUAAUUGACUGCCAAUCAAGAUGCCAACUAGUGUCAUAUUAAAGCAUAUAGAUAGGACUUAUUUUUUUCUUUUCUGAAUAACAUAUAGAUGGGACUAGAUUGAUAGUCUUUAAAGUUUAAACUUCUCUUGUACUGGUGGCCUUACAUUGCUGUAGAAGUCCCUUUUAACGAGGGAUGUGAAGUUGUGUCCCAUAUUUGUUCCCUUUGUUUGCUAUAUUUGGGGAUUUUUGUUCAGGCGCAUCAUUGCCUUGUUGGACAAGGUCCUUCACUAUUUCUCUGUUCUCUUGAAGAGGCAUUAGAGAUCAUGCAUAUCUUCCCUUGAAUUUGCACCAGUGUCUUGGUGAUUUUAUGUAAUAUCCCGGAUUGAGUGUAAAAAUUUAUUGAAUGAGAUCUCAUAUUCUCUGGGCAGAAAUUUUUGGCCCUUUCUAAUGUA